UCUUCUCUACCAUCUUGUAAAACUUCUUUUGCAUUAUUAAAUUUUAGGCAUGUUGCGUGUCCAGAAUCUUUCCUUUCUCUUGAAACAAAAUUACUACUGUUUAACCACAGAGACGGCCUUCUAUGCCUUGAAAAGACUGCAAACCAAGAAGAGAAAAAUAGUUGAUCGUCGCGCCUCAAAGAGUCGAAAGAUAAGGUAGGUUUUCAAAUGUGAUUGGAUUGGCACCUUGUAUUUUUAUGGAGUCACGUUAAUCCGGUGCAUUUCUUAACGUUGGAGAGUUUGUGUUUAUUAACAUUCUUGUAGGUACCAUGUUCACGAGAAG
rnacentral:lncRNA from 1 species